CCUACGGGGGGCAGCAGUGGGGAAUAUUGGACAAUGGGGGGAACCCUGAUCCGGCCAUGCCGCGUGUGUGAAGAAGGCCCUCGGGUUGUAAAGCACUUUCAGUGAGGAAGAACGCCUGGUGGUUAAUACCCAUCAGGAAAGACAUCACUCACAGAAGAAGCACCGGCUAACUCCGUGCCAGCAGCCGCGGUAAUACGGAGGGUGCGAGCGUUAAUCGGAAUUACUGGGCGUAAAGCGCGCGUAGGUGGCUUGAUAAGCCGGUUGUGAAAGCCCCGGGCUCAACCUGGGAACGGCAUCCGGAACUGUCAAGCUAGAGUGCAGGAGAGGAAGGUAGAAUUCCCGGUGUAGCGGUGAAAUGCGUAGAGAUCGGGAGGAAUACCAGUGGCGAAGGCGGCCUUCUGGACUGACACUGACACUGAGGUGCGAAAGCGUGGGUAGCAAACAGGAUUAGAUACCCGUGUAGUC
rnacentral:rRNA from 1 species